rnacentral:rRNA from 1 species
GUAGGGGGCAAGCGUUGUCCGGAUUUAUUGGGCGUAAAGAGCGUGUAGGCGGCCAUACAGGUCAGCUGUGAAAACUCGAGGCUCAACCUCGAGACGUCGGUUGAAACCGUAUGGCUAGAGUCCGGAAGAGGAGAGUGGAAUUCCCGGUGUAGCGGUGAAAUGCGCAGAUAUCGGGAAGAACACCUAUGGCGAAGGCAGCUCUCUGGGACGGUACUGACGCUGAGACGCGAAAGCGUGGGGAGCAAACAGGAUUAGAUACCCUGGUAGUCCACGCCGUAAACGAUGGGUACUAGGUGUGGCGGGUGUCGACUCCCGCUGUGCCGAAGCUAACGCAUUAAGUACCCCGCCUGGGGAGUACGGCCGCAAGGCUA